UACGUAGGGUGCAAGCGUUGUCCGGAAUUAUUGGGCGUAAAGAGCUCGUAGGCGGUUCGUCGCGUCGGCUGUGAAAACCUGAGGCUCAACCUCAGGCCUGCAGUCGAUACGGGCGGACUUGAGUACUGCAGGGGAGACUGGAAUUCCUGGUGUAGCGGUGAAAUGCGCAGAUAUCAGGAGGAACACCGAUGGCGAAGGCAGGUCUCUGGGCCACUACUGACGCUGAGAAGCGAAAGCAUGGGGAGCGAACAGG
rnacentral:rRNA from 1 species